rnacentral:rRNA from 1 species
AGAUUGAACGCUGGCGGCAGGCCUAACACAUGCAAGUCGAGCGGUAGAGAGGUGCUUGCAUCUCUUGAGAGCGGCGGACGGGUGAGUAAUGCCUAGGAAUCUGCCUAGUGGUGGGGGACAACGUUCGGAAACGGACGCUAAUACCGCAUACGUCCUACGGGAGAAAGCGGGGGACCUUCGGGCCUCGCGCCAUUAGAUGAGCCUAGAUCGGAUUAGCUAGUUGGUGAGGUAAUGGCUCACCAAGGCGACGAUCCGUAACUGGUCUGAGAGGAUGAUCAGUCACACUGGAACUGAGACACGGUCCAGACUCCUACGGGAGCAGCAGUGGGGAAUAUUGGACAAGUGGG